UGCGGAGAGUGCGAACGUUGUUCGGAUUCACUGGGCGUAAAGGGCACGUAGGCGGCUUGGCAAAUCGGUCGUGGAAUCCCGACGCUUACCGUCGGAACGGCGGCCGAAAAUACCGAGCUCGAGGGCGUGAGGGGUCACUGGAACUCCUGGUGAAGCGGUGAAAUGCGUAGAUAUCAGGAGGAACGCCGGAGACGAAAGCGAGUGACUGGCGCGUUCCUGACGCUGAGGUGCGAGAGCUAGGGGAGCAAACAGG
rnacentral:rRNA from 1 species